UCCUUAGUACGAGAGGACCGGGAUGGACGUACCUCUGGUGUACCAGUUGUCCUGCCAAGGGCAUGGUUGGGUAGCUAUGUACGGAAUGGAUAAGCGCUGAAAGCAUCUAAGCGCGAAGCCAACUUCAAGAUAAGAUUUCCCACCGCAAGGGUAAGACCCCAGAAAGACUAUCUGGUUGAUAGGUCGAAGGUGUAAGUGCAGCAAUGUAUUUAGCUUAUCGAUACUAAUAGGUCGAGGACUUGACCAA
rnacentral:rRNA from 1 species